rnacentral:rRNA from 1 species
GAUGAACGCUGGCGGCGUGCCUAAUACAUGCAAGUCGAGCGAACGGACGAGAAGCUUGCUUCUCUGACGUUAGCGGCGGACGGGUGAGUAACACGUGGAUAACCUACCUAUAAGACUGGGAUAACUUCGGGAAACCGGAGCUAAUACCGGAUAAUAUGUUGAACCGCAUGGUUCAAAAGUGAAAGACGGUCUUGCUGUCACUUAUAGAUGGAUCCGCGCUGCAUUAGCUAGUUGGUAAGGUAACGGCUUACCAAGGCAACGAUGCGUAGCCGACCUGAGAGGGUGAUCGGCCACACUGGAACUGAGACACGGUCCAGACUCCUACGGGAGGCAGCAGUAGGGAAUCUUCCGCAAUGGGCGAAAGCCUGACGGAGCAACGCCGCGUGAGUGAUGAAGGUCUUCGGAUCGUAAAACUCUGUUAUUAGGGAAGAACAUAUGUGUAAGUAACUGUGCACAUCUUGACGGUACCUAAUCAGAAAGCCACGGCUAACUACGUG